rnacentral:rRNA from 1 species
UACGUAGGCAGCAAGCGUUGUUCGGAGUUACUGGGCGUAAAGGGUGCGUAGGCGGCUUUUUAAGUUUGGUGUGAAAUCUCCCGGCUCAACUGGGAGGGUGCGCCGAAUACUGAGAGGCUAGAGUGUGGGAGAGGAAAGUGGAAUUCCUGGUGUAGCGGUGAAAUGCGUAGAUAUCAGGAGGAACACCGGUGGUGUAAACGGCUUUCUGGACCAUAACUGACGCUGAUGCACGAAAGCGUGGGGUAGCAAACAGG